rnacentral:rRNA from 1 species
UACGUAGGGGGCAAGCGUUGUCCGGAUUUAUUGGGCGUAAAGAGCGUGUAGGCGGCCAGAUAGGUCCGUUGUGAAAACUCGAGGCUCAACCUCGAGACGCCGAUGGAAACCAUCUGGCUAGAGUCCGGAAGAGGAGAGUGGAAUUCCUGGUGUAGCGGUGAAAUGCGCAGAUAUCAGGAGGAACACCGGUGGCGAAGGCGGGUCUCUGGGCCGAUACUGACGCUGAGGAGCGAAAGCGUGGGGAGCGAACAGG